rnacentral:tRNA from 1 species
AUUUAAAUAGUUUAAUAAAAUAUUGAUUUGUGGGGUCAAAGAUAUGAUUAGGGUUCAUUUUAAAUU